UGUGGUUCUUGUAGAAGAGCAUAAUCAUGACAACAAUAAUUAAUUCAGUCCUGAUAUUACUAUUUUUACAUGAUAUUCAUUGUCAGACAUUCACUCAGUCUCAAGAUGUGGUAAAAAGACCAGGUGAAUCUUUUACGCUGGUCUGUACUGCCUCUGGAUUUACAUUCAGCGGCUCCUGGGCAGCUGUAAUGAGACAGGCACCCGGUAAAGGACUGGAAUGGGUUGCAGCUAUCACUUCCACCAGUGAUGCAUACUAUUCCCAGUCAGUUCAGGGCAGGUUUAAAGUGUCUAGAGCUGAUUCCAGCAGUCAACUGUACCUACAGAUGAACAGCUUCAAGACUGAAGACACUGCUGUGUAUUACUGCGCAAGAGAAUCUGGCGGUGCCUUUGACUACUGGGGAAAGGGAACAACAGUGACUGUAACAUCAGCUCAACCAUCUGCACCAAAGUCAGUCUUUGCCAUGUCUCAGUGUACUUCUGAUUCUGAUGGGUUCCUCAUCAUCGGCUGCUUGGCAAGAGGUUUCUCACCUGCGGACUCGCUUACUUUUAAAUGGAAGGAUUUUGCUACAAAUGAGUUGAGUGAUUUUGUGCAGUAUCCGGCGUUUGGACGGAAUGGAGACUAUACCAAAAUCAGCCAUCUGCGUGUGAGGAAAAGUGAUUGGGAUCCUCAAAAGCCUUACACAUGCGAAGCUUCAAAUUCUCAAGGCAGUAAAAACAUUCCUGUUCCAUCACUCCCACCGCCAGAUCAGCGUGCAGAUGUGUACUUAACAGUACCUACAAAAAUGGAGUUAGACAAUGGAACAGCAACCUUCAUGUGUUUAGCCCAGCGGUUUUCACCUAAAACAUACGUGUUUAAGUGGUUUCAGGAUGGUAAGGAGGUGACAGAUGUGAUAGACAAAUAUGACAAAAGUGAGAAGAAAGGAUCAGUAACCAAAUAUAGCGCAACAAGCAUUUUGCAAAUCAGUGCCGACAAAUGGAAGCAGCCAAACAGCAAAGUUAAGUGUGAGUUUGUGCACAUGGCGGGAAAUGAAGAUAUUGAGGCCGAAUAUGCAGCUCUUAUUCAAGAUUACACCGAUAUUGCUGUUGAUAUAGUGCCUCCCUCCCUUGAAGACAUGCUGAAAAAUAAACAAGGAGAGCUGAAGUGCAAAGCUUCAGCAGAAAAUUCAGGUUUCACCAAAAUAACAAUAAAAGCGAAUAAUAAUGCCAUCGCUGAGGCAGCAGUAGGGGAAAACCGAAAAUAUGUGGAACUUGUCGCCCAGAUUGGCUAUGAAGAAUGGAGCAAUGGCACCGAAUUUACAUGCACCGUUGAACACAACGAGCUAGCAGAGCCCAAGGCAACUAAGUUCAUCAGAGAAAAUGGUAAAGAACCCAAGAGACCCUCUGUUUACAUAUUAGCACCCCCAGAGCACAAAAAGGGUGAAAAGAUGACCCUGACAUGUUAUGUGAAGGACUUCUACCCCAAAGAGGUGUUUGUGUCUUGGCUUGCUGAUGAUGAACCUGUGACUCUUGGGUACAGUUACAACACUAGCCUGCCGAUUCAGAAUGAUAAAUACUUCUCAGUGUACAGUCAGCUAACAGUUGAUUAUUCAGAGUGGAAGAGCGGUACACUGUUCAGUUGUGUCGUGUACCAUGAAAGCAUUGAUGAAAAAAUGCGCAUACUGACGAGAUCUAUUGCCGAUAAUAUUGAUAAGGCAGGUGUCAUUAAUCUAAGUAUGAAUACCCCUGCAUCUAGCAAGGACUAGAGCAUUGUGUAUGUGGUGUCUUCCUGUUAUGCCUGUUAAGUGUUCAUUUUGUUUUCUUUUUUUGUUUUCUUCCUGUUCUUGAGUUGCAUGUCCAUAUUUGUAAUUGUGUUGGUCUUUAAUGUUUGUGGCUUCUUGCUUUCAUGCGUAUUACAUUUAGGAAAGACUAAUAAAAAAGAA